rnacentral:rRNA from 1 species
UGAGGAACAUGACCUUCGGCGGGGGAUAGCCGGCCCAACGGCCGGGUAAUACCGCGUACGACCUUUCGGGGACAUCCCCGGAUGGUGAAAGCAGCAAUGCGCCGAUGGAGUGCCUCGCGGCCUAUCAGCUAGUUGGUGAGGUAACGGCUCACCAAGGCGACGACGGGUAGCUGGUCUGAGAGGAUGGCCAGCCCACAGUUGGGACUGAGACACGGCCCAGACCUCCGUACGGGGAGGNAGCG